UUAAAAUGAGAAUAAGGCAGUAACGUGACAAAAUGUGGAAAAGAUCAAGGGGUCUGAAUACUUUCCGAAUGCACUGUACAUAUCUGUAGCAAUGAGCAUCUUAGAUUAGCAAUACAAUGUAAUAGGUCAGUGUGUCUGUACAUAGGGCUUGUCUGAGACAGAACCUAGGUCAGUGUGUCUGUACAUAGGGCUUGUCUGAGACAGAACCCAGUGUGUCUGUACAUAGGGCUUGUCUGAGACAGAACCCAGUGUGUCUGUACAUAGGGCUUGUCUGAGACAGAACCUAGGUCAGUGUGUCUGUACAUAGGGCUUGUCUGAGACAGAACCUAGGUCAGUGUGUCUGUACAUAGGGCUUGUCUGAGACAGAACCUAGGUCAGUGUGUCUGUACAUAGGGCUUGUCUGAGACAGAACCUAGGUCAGUGUGUCUGUACAUAGGGCUUGUCUGAGACAGAACCUAGGUCAGUGUGUCUGUACAUAGGGCUUGUCUGAGACAGAACCUAGGUCAGUGUGUCUGUACAUAGGGCUUGUCUGAGACAGAACCUAGGUCAGUGUGUCUGUACAUAGGGCUUGUCUGAGACAGAACCUAGGUCAGUGUGUCUGUACAUAGGGCUUGUCUGAGACAGAACCCAGUGUGUCUGUACAUAGGGCUUGUCUGAGACAGAACCCAGUGUGUCUGUACAUAGGGCUUGUCUGAGACAGAACCCAGUGUGUCUGUACAUAGGGCUUGUCUGAGACAGAACCCAGUGUGUCUGUACAUAGGGCUUGUCUGAGACAGAACCCAGUGUGUCUGUACAUAGGUGUGUCUUACAUAGUCUGAGACAGAACCCAGUGUGUCUGUACAUAGGGCUUGUUUGAGAUAGAACCCAGUGUGUCUGUACAUAGGGCUUGUCUGAGACAGAACCCAGUGUGUCUGUACAUAGGGCUUGUCUGAGAUAGAACCUUUGGUAAAAACGGUUUCUGUAACUUCACUGAAGAAAUGGAAGGUUGCUGACCUAUGUUUUAUACAGCUGAAUGGAUUCUCUAUGUUCAAUUAAAGACCAUAUGAUUCA